rnacentral:rRNA from 1 species
AGCAUAUCCAUAAGCGGAGGAAAAAGAAACCAACAGGGAUUGCCUCAGUAACGGCGAGUGAAGCGGCAACAGCUCAAAUUUGAAAUCUGGCCCUUUCGGGGUCCGAGUUGUAAUUUGUAGAGAGUGCUUCGGGGGAGGCGGCGGUCUAAGUCCAUUGGAACAUGGCGUCAUAGAGGGUGAGAAUCCCGUAUGCGACCGUGGCUCGAACCCAUGUGAAGCCUCUUCGACGAGUCGAGUUGUUUGGGAAUGCAGCUCAAAAUGGGUGGUAAAUUUCAUCUAAAGCUAAAUACCGGCUGGAGACCGAUAGCGCACAAGUAGAGUGAUCGAAAGAUGAAAAGCACUUUGGAAAGAGAGUCAAACAGUACGUGAAAUUGUUGAAAGGGAAGCGCUUGCAACCAGACCUGCCCGCAGGCGAUCAGCCGCUGUUCUCAGCGGUGCACUCGCCCUGCGAUCAGGCCAGCAUCGGUUUCGGCGGUCGGAUAAAGGCCUUGGGAAUGUAGCUCCCCUUCGGGGGAGCCUUAUAGCCCUCGGUGCAAUGCGGCCAGCCGAGACCGAGGACCGCGCUUCGGCUAGGAUGCUGGCGUAAUGGUUGUAAGCGACCCGUCUUGAAACACGGACCAAGGAGUCUAACAUCUAUGCGAGUGUUUGGGUGUCAAACCCAUGCGCGGAAUGAAAGUGAACGGAGGUGAGAACCCCGAAGGGCGCAUCAUCGACCGAUCCAGAUGUCUUCGGAUGGAUUUGAGUAUGAGCAUAGCUGUUGGGACCCGAAAGAUGGUGAACUAUGCCUGAAUAGGGUGAAGCCAGAGGAAACUCUGGUGGAGGCUCGCAGCGGUUCUGACGUGCAAAUCGAUCGUCAAAUUUGGGUAUAGGGGCGAAAGACUAAUCGAACCAUCUAGUAGCUGGUUCCUGCCGAAGUUCCCCUCAG